AUCAGCUUUCGACGGUAUGGUAUUGGCUUACCGUGGCAGUGACGGUUAACGGGGGAUUAGGGUUCGAUUCCGGAGAGGGAGCCUGAGAAACGGCUACCACAUCUAAGGAAGGCAGCAGGCGCGCAAAUUACCCAAUUCUAACAGCAUAAGAGAGGUAGUGACAAGAAAUAACAGUACAAGGCAGUUAAAAUGCUUUGUAAUUGGAAUGAUAGAAAUUUAAACACUUUUUAAAGUAUCAAUUGGAGGGCAAGUCUGGUGCCAGCAGCCGCGGUAAUUCCAGCUCCAAUAGCGUAUAUUAAAAUUGUUGCAGUUAAAAAGCUCGUAGUUGAAUUUCUGCUAAAAAUAACCGGUCUGCUUUUAUUCAUAAAAGUGGUAUCUUGGUGUGUUUUUAGUAAUAAUAUCUUCAGAAAUGUUUUUUACUUUAUUGUAAAAAGCAAUAUUCAGGAUUUUUACUUUGAGAAAAUUAGAGUGUUUCAAGCAAGCUAACGUUUUGAAUA
rnacentral:rRNA from 1 species